rnacentral:rRNA from 1 species
UACGGGGGGGGCAAACGUUGUUCGGAAUUACUGGGCGUAAAGCGCGUGUAGGCUGCUCCGCAAGUCGGAUGUGAAAGCCCUGGGCUCAACCUAGGAAGUGCAUUCGAUACUGCAGAGCUUGAGUCCUGGAGAGGAAGGCGGAAUUCUCGGUGUAGAGGUGAAAUUCGUAGAUAUCGAGAGGAACACCGGUGGCGAAGGCGGCCUUCUGGACAGUGACUGACGCUGAGACGCGAAAGCGUGGGGAGCAAACAGG